rnacentral:tRNA from 1 species
ACUUAAAUAGCUUAUAAUUAGAGCAUAAUAUUGAAGAUAUUAAGGAAAUAGUAUUAUUUUUAAGUA